UAUCUUUGCAAACUUGAAAGAAGACCUUUCAACAUACAUAACAAUCAUUUACAAUAAUAUUAGCAUG
rnacentral:ncRNA from 1 species